rfam:Dorea sp. CAG:317, WGS project CBGJ01000000 data, contig: 29
AAAAUUCUUCGGGGUAGGGUGUAAUUCCCAACCGGCGGUAAAGUCCGCGACCCGUCAGGAGAGUACAUUCUCAUGGCGGCUGAACCGGUGUGAUUCCGGUACCGACAGUACAGUCUGGAUGAGAGAAGAAUCAU